rnacentral:rRNA from 1 species
GAUGAGCGCUGGCGGCGUGCCUAAUACAUGCAAGUCGAGCGAACAGACGAGGAGCUUGCUCCUCUGACGUUAGCGACGGACGGGUGAGUAACACGUGGAUAACCUACCUAUAAGACUGGGAUAACUUCGGGAAACCGGAGCUAAUACCGGAUAAUAUAUUGAACCGCAUGGUUCAAUAGUGAAAGACGGUUUUGCUGUCACUUAUAGAUGGAUCCGCGCCGCAUUAGCUAGUUGGUAAGGUAACGGCUUACCAAGGCAACGAUGCGUAGCCGACCUGAGAGGGUGAUCGGCCACACUGGAACUGAGACACGGUCCAGACUCCUACGGGAGGCAGCAGUAGGGAAUCUUCCGCAAUGGGCGAAAGCCUGACGGAGCAACGCCGCGUGAGUGAUGAAGGUCUUCGGAUCGUAAAACUCUGUUAUUAGGGAAGAACAAAUGUGUAAGUAACUAUGCACGUCUUGACGGUACCUAAUCAGAAAGCCACGGCUAACUACGUG